rnacentral:rRNA from 1 species
UACGGGGGGGGUAAGCGUUGUUCGGAAUUACUGGGCGUAAAGCGCGCGUAGGCGGCUUUGUAAGUUAGAGGUGAAAGCCCGGGGCUCAACCCCGGAAUUGCCUUUAAGACUGCAUCGCUAGAAUCCGGGAGAGGUGAGUGGAAUUCCGAGUGUAGAGGUGAAAUUCGUAGAUAUUCGGAAGAACACCAGUGGCGAAGGCGGCUCACUGGACCGGUAUUGACGCUGAGGUGCGAAAGCGUGGGGAGCAAACAGG